AAUGUCAUCGACAAGUUUCAGAAAUAUCUCGUCCACAUUGAAGUUAUCCUUGGCACUUGCUUCACAGAACCGCAUCCCAGUUAUUUGCUGUGCAAACUGAGAAGAAACACACACUUAUUUCCUCUGUGUGGGUGUCACACAGACCAGCGUGCGAGCAUGAGAAUGAAUUUAAAGGAGCAGGAAGUCAAAACAGCACAAACAAAUGAGGAGGAUGUGACUGAGUUAUCACUGUAUCAAUCAUUUCUUCGUAAUUUUUAAAGUAAGUAAUUUAUUAAAAGAAACAGUACCUCAAGCGCUAA